AAUCAACGCUGGCGGCGUGCCUCAGACAUGCAAGUCGAACGAUUAAACUUGCCUUCGGGCAAGAUAUAAAGUGGCGCACGGGUGAGUAACACGUAAGUAAUCUACCUUCGAGUGGGGAAUAACGUCGGGAAACCGACGCUAAUACCGCAUAAUGCAGCGGCACCUAAUGGUGACAGUUGUUAAAGGAGCAAUUCGCUUGAAGAGGAGCUUGCGGCAGAUUAGCAGUUGGUAAGGUAAUGGCUUACCAAGGCUACGAUCUGUAACCGGUCUAAGAGGACGGUCGGUCACACUGACACUGAAUAACGGGUCAGACUCCUACGGGAGGCAGCAGUCGGGAAUUUUGGGCAAUGGGCGAAAGCCUGACCCAGCAACGCCGCGUGAAGGAUGAAGUAUUUC
rnacentral:rRNA from 1 species